rnacentral:rRNA from 1 species
GUCAGAUAGGGGCAAGCGGGCAGUGUAAUACAUGGGGCGAGAGGGUUGUCCGGGAGUAUGUGGGGGAAGGAGUCAGGAGGCGGUCUGGCACGUCGGCUGUGAAAUCCCGGGGGUUAACCCCGGGCUUGCAGUGGAGACGGGCAGACUAGAGGCAGGUAGGGGAGAAUGGAAUUCCCGGUGUAGCGGUGAAAUGCGCAGAUAUCGGGAGGAACACCGGUGGCGAAGGCGGUUCUCUGGGCCUGACCUGACGCUGAGGAGCGAAAGCGUGGGGAGCGAACAGGAUUAGAUACCCGAGUAGUC